GACGAACGCUGGCGGCGUGCCUAAUACAUGCGAGUUGAGCGAUGAAGAUUGGUGCUUGCACCAAUUUGAAGAGCAGCGAACGGGUGAGUAACGCGUGGGGAAUCUGCCUUUGAGCGGGGGACAACAUUUGGAAACGAAUGCUAAUACCGCAUAACAACUUUAAACAUAAGUUUUAAGUUUGAAAGAUGCAAUUGCAUCACUCAAAGAUGAUCCCGCGUUGUAUUAGCUAGUUGGUGAGGUAAAGGCUCACCAAGGCGAUGAUACAUAGCCGACCUGAGAGGGUGAUCGGCCACAUUGGGACUGAGACACGGCCCAAACUCCUACGGGAGGCAGCAGUAGGGGAUCUUCGGCAAUGGACGAAAGUCUGACCGAGCAACGCCGCGUGAGUGAAGAAGGGUUUCGGAUCGUAAAACUCUGUUGGUAGAGAAGAACGUUGGUGAGAGUGGAAAGCUCAUCAAGUGACGGUAACUACCCAGAAAGGGACGGCUAACUACGUG
rnacentral:rRNA from 1 species